UCACAAGUAAUAGUACGAAUGCCCCAAAUGCAUGAUCAAUAAGUGCUCAGUGGAGAUGACAGAGUAUCCGAUCCAUAUAAGAGUGCGUGCGCACAGACAUGCAUGCAUGGAAUUUAAAGUUUAUCUGAAGGCUAGGGUUUUUUUUUUUACGUUGAGGAGGCUAGGGUUUAUAAAGCUCAAAUCAGAAUCGUCAUUUUCAAAUCUUUCAUCUGGAGGCUAGGUUUUAUAAUGCUCAAAUCAGAGUAAUAAAUGAUGCAUCAUGCACAUUUUAACUUGUACCAUCAUGUAGUACUACUAAAUAAUUUUCUUAAUAUUCUUACUUACUGUCGAAUGCA
rnacentral:lncRNA from 1 species